UGCCGGCAAGCAGCAACAGCAAAAGCACAAAGGCAGCAAACUGCAAAGAUAAGGUCAGCAAACACAGACAGAAGCUGCAAAGCCGGCCGAUGGUUAUUGUUGUGGUGUUCAGUGGCUUGAAUUUGUGCGCGCGAUUGUGUGUAUGUAGGUAGGUAGGUAGGUAGGUAAGUAGGUGUUCAAAUGUGGGUGAGAAUGUGCUCGUGCACUCACGUGUGUGUGUAGGUGUGU
rnacentral:lncRNA from 1 species